rnacentral:rRNA from 1 species
UACGAGGGGGGCAAGCGUUGUUCGGAAUUGUUGGGCGUAAAGGGUGCGUAGGCGGUCUGGUAAGUCUUGUGUGAAAUCUUCGGGCUCAACUCGAAGUCUGCACGAGAAACUGCCGGGCUUGAGUAUGGGAGAGGUGAGUGGAAUUCCCGGUGUAGCGGUGAAAUGCGUAGAUAUUGGGAAGAACACCAGUGGCGAAGGCGGCUCUCUGGACCGUAACUGACGCUGAGGCGCGAAAGCGUGGGGAGCAAACAGG